rnacentral:tRNA from 1 species
GCUGGUGUGGCCCCACGGUAGAGCAGCUGACUUGUAAUCAGCAGGUUGUAGGUUCGAUUCCUAUCACCAGCUCCA